AGAAACGAAAUCAAUAAAAUAUCACAGGUUAAUACUAUUUCUUAGGUUCUAUAGCACGAAAUGUUACCAUGUGCUUUCAUUUCAUGAUCAUAUGCAUCUAUUUGCAUGUAGCUUCGAUAUCAACUUACUGAUACUUGUCAACUUGGACGAUUCUAUUUCGUAUAUAAAUUUCUUAAAUCAGCAUGAUAAAUUGACAAACUAAUAAUCCAAAUAUAUAUAUUAAAUUUUAUGGUUUCCAAUAGAUUUCUUUAUAAUAAAUAUUUCUUAUCUCAGGGUGCAAGAUUCGGCACCUAUGUUUGAGGGCUACAUACUUUCAAUAUAGAUGGCUUUUCCCAGCUGACUGAAUUUUGGAUUUUGACGUCAUAUUCUCUAGCUCUCUAUCCUAGUAAUCCAGAGUUAACCUAUUUUCUACAAUUUCCACAUUUAAGGUAAUUUAAUUAAUUUAUCUUCUACUAUCCCCAUUUGUGUCCUUUUUUAUAUGAUGUAGAUUAUUUAAAAUACAUACUUAAAAAAUUGUUCUUUGACUGUUUCAGGCUUCUAACAGUUGGAAGGAAUGAAACGUUGGAUUGUUGCCAUGUGGUCUAGGCCAAGAUUGAAUUUAUCAUGAUAGAAAAGCUGCACUGAAUUCGUCUAACGUCCUGAAUUCGUGAUUAUGGAUCUGGAAAAACAUCAGAGGUUCACCACUUAACAGGCUGGAUAAUCGAAGAUGCCAUGAAUUCCAAGAGGAUUCUUGGCAGUGAUUGGAGAUAUCUGGGCAGUGGACUCCAUCGCGCCCCCCUCAGCGUCGAUCAUCGCUACUACCACCGUCUGCAGUGUGUCCGCUACCUCACUUUGCGCGGACGAAAAGAGACUCAUUUUUAAAAAUGGAUAAAGUGUCAAGUGUUUGUAAAAAAGUAAAAGUUUUGGCCACCAAAGUGUUAAGUGCACAAGCAAGGAUAGGCCUAUGGAUAUACUCUUGACUCAGUCUGUUUUUUUCCCGACUGACAAGAAAGCCUGGGCUGACGACAGUUUUCGACAAUCCACCGCACAGGAGGCAGCACCGCACGGAACAGCGCUACAUCAACGUGCUCAAUUCAAGAAUGGCCACAACAAAAGGAAAAACAUUUCAAAAAAUACAAAAAUAUUUAUUAUGUCAUACGAGCAUGUACAAAAUAUGUAAAAUAAAUAAAAAUAUUAAGGAAGUGUGGUAUAUUCUACUCGGUGCAUGAAUACAUUGUAAUUUUAGAAUAAGCCAAUCAAAAUACAGUAACUGACCGGCGGUAAAAGCAAGUCAAUUCAAAAAUAUACUUUAUUUAUUAUAUAAAUGAUAAGAAUUUGUAAGUCAUACAAUACUCAGUUCAUGUAACAGAUGUAAAUUGAAUAAUUAGAAAAUAUAAUAUGUAAUCUUUAUGCAAUAACCUAGCAGAUUGACACGGACUAUUUCGAAUUAUGUGAUUGUGUAGUAGUUAAAUAUUUAAAUAAAAUGCAAAUUUGAAAUACAGAAGUAUGAUCAUGGAAAGAAUAGGGGUAGAUCAAAGCCUACUUGCUUGCCAGAGGUCACCAGGAACAGCCACCAAUUAUGUAGAGCACAAGAUCCCUUUUUGGUAAUUGUACGUUUUAAAAGUUCAAGUUUGAAUUUAAUAAUUAAUUCAAUAAUACUCAGUGAGGACGUAUUAAGAUGUGAGUCACAUAGAAUUCAUUGAUAUUCCAUUGAAGAAGACGACAUCAGCCCACCAGAAAAGCCUAGGACGUCAAAAGAAUCCAGAUCACCAUCAUUUUGUGAAAUUCGACAUGUGAGUUUAACAUUUAAAAGAUAUCCAGGGCGCCCUCAGUGAAUCGAAUGAAUCAUGAUUCAAUAAAGCUAGCUCAACGAAAGGUUAUUUGAAUAUUGAAAUUAAUAUCAAACUUGCGCAAGUCUUUAAACAUAAAGGGAAUUUUAUUAAGAACAAUCUAUCAGAUUUACAUGUUCAAGUAUGCACAGAUAAAAUAUUUAAUUAAUUUUCAUAUUAUAAUAUAUGCUCAAUUGACCAUUCUUUCUAUCAGUAAAUUAUAAAGAUGUUAAUGAAGCUCUUGCUCAUAGGAUAAUUUGAUUUAUCUGAUUUCCACCAGAGGCCGAAUCUUAGCCCUGAGAGAUACAUAUUAAUAUAUUUUGAGAUUUAUAAUUUAUAAUUGGUUAUUAAUAUUAAUUUGGGAAGAAGAUAUAUAAGAUUUUAUUAGACAAGCAAUAGUAAGUCAAUAACUGAGCUACAUAAUUUAAAUGCAUAUGAUUGCUGAGUUAAGAAGCACAUGGUAAUAUU